ensembl:rRNA 5S_rRNA 5S ribosomal RNA
GCCAGCAGCCAUAUUACUCUGCAACUCACAACUGGCAACCCACUGAAGCUCAGCAGGUGUGAGCCUGGUCAGUACCUUGAUGGGAGACCACCUGGGAAAAACUAGGUUGCUGCUGUUA